rnacentral:SRP_RNA from 1 species
GCCAGGCAUGGUGGCACCUGCCUGUAGUCCCAGCUACUCGGGAGGCUGAGGUGGGAGGAUCACUUGAGCCCAGGAGUUCUGGGCUGUAGUGUGCUGUGCCGAUGAGGUGUCCGAACUAAGUUCAGCAUCAAUAUGGUGACAUCCUGAGAGCGGGGGCCACCAGGUUGCCUAAGGAGGGGUGAACCAGCCCAGGUCGGAAACAGAGCAGGUCAAAACUCCCAUGCUGAUCAGUAGUGGGAUCGCACCUGUGAAUAGCCACCGCACUCCAGCCUGGGCAACAUAGCGAGACACUGUCUCUU